rnacentral:rRNA from 1 species
UACGGAGGAUGCAAGCGUUAUCCGGAAUCAUUGGGUUUAAAGGGUCCGUAGGUGGAUUGGUCAGUCAGAGGUGAAAUCCUGCAGCUCAACUGUAGAACUGCCUUUGAUACUGCCGGUCUUGAAUUAUUGUGAAGUGGUUAGAAUAUGUAGUGUAGCGGUGAAAUGCAUAGAUAUUACAUAGAAUACCGAUUGCGAAGGCAGAUCACUAACAAUAUAUUGACACUGAUGGACGAAAGCGUGGGGAGCGAACGGG